UACAACUUUUAGAAAAUGCAUUUAUCACAUUCAACCAUGAACUGUAUUUUCGUUAGAUAGAUUUUUAAACAAUUAUAUUAAUAAUGCUUUGAACAAAGAGUCUCUAAUUCGUAUUUUUAUGUUUACGUGGUUGGUUCAUACGUCUCAAGUAUUUUUGUAAUAUGUGACAUACGUUUGAAAACUGAUAUACUACCAUAGUAUAAUUUGUUGAGAAAAAUAAAAAAAAGUAGUUACACUAAUUUGACACAUUUUGGUAAACAAUAAUAAUGUGUGUGCAAUAUCUACAUUUGGUCCAAAAUCAGUUUAUUACACAACCCUGUGCAACAAUUAUAAAAAAUUGUAAAAAUUCAGACCAUCAGAUUUCAGAUGGUUUAAUAUUGUUGUUGAUGUGUUAGAAAAUACAUAAAUGUGAUUAAAGUUCUUUCUUAAAAAGGUCAUAAUCAUGAUCGUGUUGAAGAUCAAGCAAUUGGAGGAAAGGUGGAAUAUACACUAAAAGAAGGUUCCCAAAAAUGAAGAAGGAUGGAAACAGGUUGCAGAGGAAUUUGAAGAAAACUGGAACUUUCAUAACUGCAUAGGGAAUAGUGGUGGCAAACAUGCAGCGAUCCAACAACUCCCCUCCCCCCAUUCUGGGUCUACUACAACUACAAAGGGUUAAUGCAAAUUAUCAAUUUAUGAUGGUCGAUGUCGGAGCGAAUGGGCGAGUGUCAGAUGGUGGAGUGAUGAAGAACACGUUAUUUUGGCGCAAGUUGUCUGAGAAUAAACUAAACAUGACCGAUUCUCGUUACCAGAUUGUCCUAAGCAUGGAGGAUCAUAGAUGUUUGGGAUAUUAACAAAGAGGUUCAAAAUCCUUCAAAACGACCUAAAAUUUGAACAAGUUAAAGCUAGAAAAAUUGUUUUGGCAUGCUGUCAUUUACACAACUACUUCUGCUCAAGAAAUAGUGGAAACUAUAUACACCCCCAUGACGUGUCUAUGGCUAAUGUGGAACCUGGGUCAUGGAGAUAAGGAACUCAAGAGAAGUUACAACUUCAAAGAAGCAAAGGCAACUCGGCAGUUGAAGCAAAGAAAAUAAUGGAUGACUUGCGAAUUCUUCAACACCUAUGGUUCAGUGCCAUGGCAAAACAAUUACCUGAAUAACUAGUGUCAACAAAACUUUUCAGUAGCAUUGUAUUGUGUUUUGAAAUUUUUUCCUUAUUGAAUAAAUAAAACAUUUUUUAAGUCA